UUCCUUUGACAGCAUACAUACUUAAAUUGGAAACAUGUAGAUUGGCAUGGCCCCUGCACAAGAAUGAUAUACAAACUUGCAAACCAUUAUAUAUAUAU
ensembl:snRNA U6 U6 spliceosomal RNA